UGUUACUCGAUACUACACACGAUGUUUUAUGACUUUUAUCGUUUUAUUGUGUAUAGAAUCGCUUCAAAUAUGUUUAUAAUACUAAGAUAUAAUCUAGAAUAACACUAGUUCAAAACGCAACGUUUCUCGAACGUAUUCUGAGCACGCGAGGCGCGCCGCUGGUCGCUCGUACCAGUCUCUAAACUGUUCGCAUAUAUUAUCGUUCAUUACGGUAUCACUCUCCCCUCCUCAUUGAAUGCCAUCCAUGACAUGUACGGAUCUUUCUUCUUAUUUUAUCAUUUACAGGUAUUUCUCUAGAAUUGUUGAUAUCUUCUACCUAAGACACCUGGGCUGGUUGAUCAGACACAACCCAUUAACUCUAUCAAACCUAUCUAAUACUCAUGCGCGCAUACUCAUUCUACAUAUAGAUCCGUUUUUCCGUAACCUCAGUUACGAUACACGUUCCUCCAUAACUAUGGAUUCUUAACGACAAAAGUACAAUGUUUUUCUAAUAAUAUGAUUUAAAAUGUUCCAAAUAUCUAAAACGCAAACAUUGGCUGGUUGUGGUACAUUUGAGAGUAACCAAACAAUGGUGGAGUUGGUGGAUAACCAAGUGGUGGUGGAGUUGGUAGGUAACCAAACGGUGGUGUGGUCGGUGGGUAAUCAAAUGGUGGUUGAGUUGGUGGGUAACCGUAAAAUAGGUGCGGUUGUGGUGGUAUGAAGCCGCAGGUCUGCAUCAUUCCAACGGUGGGGUUUUGACAUAC